GAUGAACGCUAGCGGGAGGCUUAACACAUGCAAGUCGAGGGGCAGCACGAGGUAGCAAUACUUUGGUGGCGACCGGCGCACGGGUGAGUAACGCGUAUGUAACCUACCCUGUACAGGGGGAUAGCCCGGAGAAAUUCGGAUUAAUACCCCAUAAUGAUAUCUGGAGGCAUCUUUAGAUAUUUAAAGCUUCGGCGGUACGGGAUGGGCAUGCGUGACAUUAGCUAGUUGGUAAGGUAACGGCUUACCAAGGCUUCGAUGUCUAGGGGUCCUGAGAGGGUGAUCCCCCACACUGGUACUGAGACACGGACCAGACUCCUACGGGAGGCAG
rnacentral:rRNA from 1 species